GACGAACGCUGGCGGCGUGCUUAACACAUGCAAGUCGAGCGGUAAGGCCCUUUCGGGGGUACGACGAGCGGCGAACGGGUGAGUAACACGUGGGUGACCUGCCCUCAGCUCUGGGAUAAGCCCGGGAAACUGGGUCUAAUACCGGAUAUGACUCCAUGACGCAUGUUGUGGGGUGGAAAGCCUUGUGCGGCUGAGGAUGGGCCCGCGGCCUAUCAGCUUGUUGGUGGGGUGAUGGCCACCAAGGCGACGACGGGUAGCCGGCCUGAGAGGGCGACCGGCCACACUGGGACUGAGAUACGGCCCAGACUCCUACGGGAGGCAGCAGUGGGGAAUCUUGCGCAAUGGGCGAAAGCCUGACGCAGCGACGCCGCGUGAGGGAUGAC
rnacentral:rRNA from 1 species